rnacentral:rRNA from 1 species
AGGUUGUAAAGUUCUUUUCCAUGUCUAGAAUAAGGUUGUUAGGAAAUGAGCAACUGAUGACAUAUGCAUGGGAAUAAGCCCCGGCCAAUUACGUGCCAGCAGCCGCGGUAAUACGUAAGGGGCAAGCGUUGUUCGGAAUCAUUGGGCGUAAAGGGCGUGUAGGCGGUUAUGCAAGCUUGAUGUUAAAUAUCCCGGCUUAACCGGGAGAGUGCGUUGAGAACUGCAUGACUUGAGUUUUUGGGGGGAAGCUGGAAUUCCUGGUGUAGGGGUGAAAUCUGUAGAUAUCAGGAAGAACACCGAUGGCGAAGCAAGCUUCUAUCAAAAGACUGACGCUGAGGCGCGAAACGUGGGGAGCGAACAGGAUUAGAUCCCUGGUA